rnacentral:rRNA from 1 species
AUGAUGAAUUUUACGGAGGAUGCUCCUGUAAAGAAAGGCUCUGUUCUCUUAACAAAGAUGGAAAGUAUAACGGCAUACAAAAACCAACGUGGACAACCCAGAUCUGGAACUCCAGAACAAUUUGACACUCCAGUGUCUGCUAAUGACAUGUGUUCCCUUGCUGAAUGGCCAUCCCAUGCUCGCCGCAACCGUGCGCUACUACAGGAUGAAGCUGGUGGACAGAAGAAGAAAGUCCGAGGUGUUCUAAAAGUAGGAAUGAACUAUCGUUCGUUCAAGGACGGCGUGGACAGAUGGGACCUAGAAGAUACACCAGAAACAGAAGAAAAGAUUCUCAAAAUUGCGAAAGAGCGAUAUAGAGGCUGGGGAUCAACUCUAAGCUCCACUUACAAGGCAUACAAAACAGAUGCAGCUAGAUUGGCUAAUCUGCCGGAAGAUUUACAACCAGAAGAGUGGGAAUGGAUGAUUGAGUACUUUGGCACUGAUUCAAAAUUUCAGGAUCGCAGCCAAAAGAACGUCGAUAACCGUAAGAAACAGAAGACAAAACACAGAAUCAGAUCAAAAUCUUACUCGCAAGUUAGUUUUGAGAAGAGAAACUUAGAAACUGGGGAAGAGCUAGAUUGUAUUGCUCUGUGGGAACUCACCCACACGAACGAUGGAACAUGGUCUAACACAGAUUCCCAGAAAGUUUACGACAAAGCACUUGAAGAGGUUAAAAAUAAAGAAACUGAAACUGAAGGUCCACUUUCAAGUGAGCAGAAAAACAAUAUUUUUCAGACCGCAUACAAAGACACUCUAGAAUGCAAGUCAUCGCAGCCUUGUGGGUACGGAUACAUGGAGAAAACUUCAACUGGUUCUGAAAGGUUUCAUAUCCAGAUUGAAGAGCAAGCUCGUGCUACAGCAGCCACCCAGGAGCGAAACUCUCAGCUCAGCCAGCAGGUCAACGAAUUACAAGAUCAACUACAAGCUGAACGUGCAAACACACAAGAGAGGAUUAACUUGGAGCGUGCUGAGAGAGAACAACUUGAGGAGAGGUUAAAAGAAGAGCGUGCUGAAAGGGAAAGAUUGUUGCAAGAGGAGCGAACAUCAAGACUGGAAUUUGAAAAAAACAUGAUGGCAAAGUUUGUAGAAUUGAGCCAACAGAUGGGAACCCAACAGAGAUCUAGUCCUAAUAAGACUUCAGGUUCAAGGCCAACUGCUAUUUCUUCAAAUGCGCUCAUACAAGCUGCAACAAGGAAUUCUCGAAUGUUUAAAGCAAUGGAUCCAAAGAACUAG